AGUCGUGCCUGCAGUCGACGAUUCCUACGGGAGGCAGCAGUGGGGAAUCUUAGACAAUGGGGGAAACCCUGAUCUAGCCAUGCCGCGUGAGUGAUGAAGGCCUUAGGGUCGUAAAGCUCUUUCGCCAGGGAUGAUAAUGACAGUACCUGGUAAAGAAACCCCGGCUAACUCCGUGCCAGCAGCCGCGGUAAUACGGAGGGGGUUAGCGUUGUUCGGAAUUACUGGGCGUAAAGCGCGCGUAGGCGGAUUAGUCAGUCAGAGGUGAAAUCCCAGGGCUCAACCCUGGAACUGCCUUUGAUACUGCUAGUCUAGAGUUCGAGAGAGGUGAGUGGAAUUCCGAGUGUAGAGGUGAAAUUCGUAGAUAUUCGGAGGAACACCAGUGGCGAAGGCGGCUCACUGGCUCGAUACUGACGCUGAGGUGCGAAAGUGUGGGGAGCAAACAGGAUUAGAUACCCUGGUAGUCCACACCGUAAACGAUGAAUGCCAGUCGUCGGCAAGUAUACUUGUCGGUGACACACCUAACGGAUUAAGCAUUCCGCCUGGGGAGUACGGUCGCAAGAUUAAAACUCAAAUGAAUUGACGG
rnacentral:rRNA from 1 species